ACUUAAAUAAUUUAAAUAAAAUAUUGAUUUGUGGAGUCAAAUAUAUGAAAUACUCAUUUUAGGUU
rnacentral:tRNA from 1 species